UACGUAGGGCGCAAGCGUUAUCCGGAAUCAUUGGGCGUAAAGAGCGCGUAGGCGGCCCUGUAAGUCCGCUGUGAAAGUCAAGGGCUCAACCCUUGGAUGCCGGUGGAUACUGCAGGGCUAGAGUCCGGAAGAGGCGAGUGGAAUUCCUGGUGUAGCGGUGAAAUGCGCAGAUAUCAGGAGGAACACCGAUGGCGAAGGCAGCUCGCUGGGACGGUACUGACGCUGAGGCACGAAAGCGUGGGGAUCAAACAGG
rnacentral:rRNA from 1 species